CAACGCGAAGAACCGUUACCUGGGCUUGACAUCCCGAGAUCCCCUGGAAACAGGGAGUGCCUUUCGGGGAACUCGGAGACAGGUGCUGCAUGGCUGUCGUCAGCUCGUGUCGUGAGAUGUUGGGUUAAGUCCCGCAACGAGCGCAACCCUUGUCUUAAUUGCCAGCAUUCAGUUGGGCACUUUAAAGAGACUGCCGGUGUUAAGCCGGAGGAAGGUGGGAUGACGUCAAGUCCUCAUGGCCUUUAUGCCCAGGGCUACACACGUGCUACAAUGGGUGGUACAAAGAGAUGCCAACUCGCGAGAGCGGCGCCAAUCUCAGAAAGCCAUCCUCAGUUCGGAUUGGAGUCUGCAACUCGACUCCAUGAAGUUGGAAUCGCUAGUAAUCGCGGAUCAGCACGCCGCGGUGAAUACGUUCCCGGGCCUU
rnacentral:rRNA from 1 species